rnacentral:sRNA from 23 species
ACCUGCUCGUGGGCGCUGUGCGUGGCGUCAGAGCAACAGACACAAACCGUGCCCCGGGAAGAUCUGGGCACUUCAGGGCGUU